rnacentral:misc_RNA from 1 species
AACGCACCUUGCGCUCCUUGGUAUUCCGAGGAGCAUGCCUGUUUGAGUGUCAUUAAUAUAUCAAACCUUCUCUCGUUGAGCGGUUUGGAUGUGGGGGUUUGCUGGCCUCUUAAAAGGUUUUGGCUCCCCUGAAAUGCAUUAGCAGAACCAACCCUGUUCAUUGGUGUGAUAAACUAUCUACGCUAUUGAAUGUGAAGGGCAAGUUUGGCUUUCUAACAGUCCUCGGACAAACCUCACUAUCAUAUUUGACCUCAAAUCAGGUAGGACUACCCGCUGAACUUAA